rnacentral:piRNA from 1 species
AGGCUGUCUGGCUAGAACUUCAG